rnacentral:rRNA from 1 species
UACAGAGGUGACAAACGUUGUCCGGAAUUAUUGGGCGUAAAGGGCGCGUAGGCGGUUGGGUAAGUCUGGUGUGAAAGCUCUGAGCUUAACUCAGGAACUGCAUCGGAUACUGCCCGGCUUGAGUACGGUAGAGGAGGGUGGAAUUCCCAGUGUAGCGGUGAAAUGCGUAGAUAUUGGGAGGAACACCGGUGGCGAAGGCGGCCCUCUGGACCGAGACUGACGCUGAAGCGCGAAAGCUAGGGGAG